rnacentral:rRNA from 1 species
GACAGAGGUGCCAAGCGUUAGGCGGAAUCACUGGGCUUAAAGCGUGUGUAGGCGGAUCGUUAAGUACCUUGUGAAAUCCCACGGCUCAACCGUGGAACUGCUCGGUAUACUGGCGGUCUUGAGCCACCUAGGGGCAACUGGAACAAGCGGUGGAGCGGUGAAAUGCGUAGAUAUCGAGAGGAACACCUGCGGCGAAGGCGGGUUGCUGGGCUGAUACUGACGCUGAGGCGCGAAAGCUAGGGGAGCGAACGGG